rnacentral:rRNA from 1 species
UACGUAGGGUGCGAGCGUUUAAUCGGAAUUACUGGGCGUAAAGCGUGCGCAGGCGGUUAUGCAAGACAGAUGUGAAAUCCCCCGGGCUCACCUGGGAACUGCAUUUGUGACUGCAUAGCUAGAGUACGGUAGAGGGGGAUGGAAAUUCCGCGUGUAGCAGUGAAAUGCGUAGAUAUCUGGAGGAAUACCGGUGGCGAAGGCGGCAUCCUGGACCGAGAUUGAACGCUGAGUGGAGCGAAA